rnacentral:rRNA from 1 species
UACAGAGGUCCCGAGCGUUGUUCGGAUUUAUUGGGCGUAAAGGGCGCGUAGGCGGCGGAGUAAGUUGGGUGUGAAAUCCCGGGGCUCAACCUCGGAAUUGCAUUCAAUACUGCUUCGCUCGAGUACUGGAGAGGAGGCUGGAAUUUACGGUGUAGCAGUGAAAUGCGUAGAUAUCGUAAGGAAGGCCGGUGGCGAAAGCGAGCCUCUGGACAGUUACUGACGCUGAUGCACGAAGGCCAGGGGAGCAAACGGG